GUGCUCAUUUUGGAUGCACAUAUACUAAAACUGGAACAAUACAGAAACGAAUAGCAUGGCCCCUAUACAAGGAUGACAAUCAUAUUUGUGAAGUGUUCUAUAUUAAA
ensembl:snRNA U6 U6 spliceosomal RNA